UUAUUGGGUUUUAUUCUGGCUCCGAGUGAACGCUGGUAACAUAUUUUAACACAUGCAAAUCGAACGAAAAUAUAAUAUUAUUUUAGUGGUGACCUGGUGAGUAGUAUAAGAGAAUUGAAGUGUGGGUUAGGUUAAAUACCUGAAUUUACUUGGUGUAAAAGAUUUAUAUCGCCCGCAAUAAAGCUUUUAAAGGAUUAGGUAGUUGUUGUAGUAAUUAUUCAACAAGCCGACGAUGCUUAGCUGGUUUGAGAGAAUGAUCAGCCACAUUGGGGCUGAAAACGGCCCAAGUCUUCCGAAAAGGGCAGCAGUGGAGAAUAUUUGACAAUGGGCGAAAGCUUGAUCGAGUAAUGUUACGUGGGUGAUGAGAAGGCUUAAUUGCCGUAAAGCUCGUUUCGCCAAGGAUUAUAAUGCAAUCGUACUUGGAGGAGAAGCCCUGACUAACUUCGUGCCAGCAGUCGCGGUAAUACGGAGAGGGCUGGUGUUAUUCGCAUUGACUGGGUGUAAAGGGUGCGUAGGUGGUUUAUUAAGUUUCAAGGCAAAUGUUAAAUAUAAAGUUUAAACGCCUUUUAAUACUAAUAGACUAGAGUUUAUUGGGAGACAGCUGUACAUUAAGUGUAAAGGUGAAAUUUUUCGAUAUUUAAAGGACAUUCGAUAGGCGAAGGCUGCUAUCUACUUUAAUACUGACACUGAGGCACAAAAGCAUGGGGAUCAAACAGGAUUAGAGACCCUGGUAGUCCAUGCCCUGACCGAUGAAUAUUGAUUAUACUUUCGAGUGUAAUUAAGCUAACGCGUAAAUAUUCCACCUGAGUACUACGACCGCAAGGUUAAAACUCAAAGAAACUGACGGAAGAUUGUAUAAGCGGUGGAGUAUGUGGUUUAAUUUGAUAUAACGCAAAGAAUCUUACCAACCCUUGCAUACAAGUGGUUUAUUUUAUUCGCGGAAAUUUUUUUCCGCGAAUAGGUGAAUUUACUAAGAAUCUUGUUGAUCUCUGUUCUUAGUAGACUUGUACAGGUGCUGCAUGGUUGUCGGCAGUUCGUGUUGUGAAAUGUUUUGUUAAUUCAUUUAACGGACGUAACCUUCAGUCUUAUUUGUUUAUAAAUAAGACAACAUUAAUUUGAAAAUUGAUUGAAAGAAGAGGAAGUCAAAUCAUUAUGGCCUAUAUAGGUUGGGCUACACACGUACUACAAUGGUAAUUACAACGUGAAGCGUAAACGUGAGUUUUAGCUAAACAUGAAAAAUUAACCUUAGUUCUGAUUAUUCUCUGUAAGUCGAGAGUAUGAAGUAGGAAUCGCUAGUAAUCGUAGAAUAGAACGCUGCGGUGAAUACAUUCUCAAUCUUUGUACACACCGCCCGUCACGCCAUGGGAAUUGGUUUGGUUAGAAGUUAAAUAGGUUGUUCUUAUACUCUACUUUAAUAUUUGUUUUGAGCUGGGGUGGGUAUAGCACUAAUAACGACAAUUAGAUUAAGGACUGGGGUGAAGUCGUAACAAGGUAGCGGUAGGGGAACC
rnacentral:rRNA from 1 species